rnacentral:misc_RNA from 1 species
GAUGAAGAACGCAGCAAAAUGCGAUAAGUAAUGUGAAUUGCAGAAUUCUGAAUCAUCGAAUCUUUGAACGCACAUUGCGCCCGCCAGUAUUCUGGCGGGCAUGCCUGUUCGAGCGUCAUUUCAACCCUCAAGCCCUCGGGUUUGGUGUUGGGGAUCGGCGAGCCUUUCUGGCAAGCCGGCCCCGAAAUCUAGUGGCGGUCUCGCUGCAGCCUCCAUUGCGUAGUAGUAAAACCCUCGCAACUGGAACGCGGCGCGGCCAAGCCGUUAAACCCCCAACUUCUGAAUGUUGACCUCGGAUCAGGUAGGAAUACCCGCUGAACUUAAGCAUAUCAAUAAGCGGAGGA